rnacentral:lncRNA from 1 species
UGUUAUUGACAAAUAAAGAACAAAAGAAAGAAAAGUAAUAACAUUAGUUAACAAGGAAGCCCUUCAACAACCAAAUUAAUAAAUGACUCUUUCCUUAAAAAUGCAUAAGUCCAAAAGACAUCAAAAACCUCGCAUUCUUCAAUCAAGAUUACUGCUUGGCUUCAUUUGUGCAAAAUCAUCGGUUUUUAUUUUAAUUUCACACGUAGAAAUAAUCUCUUUUGACGUCACAUUUAAAACAUCAAACAAUUA